rnacentral:lncRNA from 1 species
UACUCAAGUUUUGCAGUUCAGCUUUAAGGUUUUAUAGAUUUUUAACUGGUCCAACAUAUUCAGAAACAUUGUUUUGAAUCUGUGUAACCAAGGCAUUAAUCUCAACAAACUGGGAUCCAUGUAGGCACCACUUGAUAUAAGUAGAUUUUCCAAGAUGAAUACUUUAUACUGUAUCUUUUACAUUAGCCACAAUAUGUGUUAUUGCUUGACGCGAACAUUUCACGGAGUCCUAUGGAUUACAGCAUUUGACUCGGCUGCUCAGUACCCCUGCCAGCUAAUUGCAGAAAUCCUGACCCCAGAAAGAAAAAUGAAAUUCAAACUGAGAGCCUGUCACAGGCUGUCAGGAUGGUCAAGGUUCUUAAAUAUCGGCCAUUUGGUGCAAUUUUUUUUAAAGUUUUUAUGUUAUUCCGUGGAGUCAUAAAGAGGCAAUAAACUCUCUA